GUAGGUGGCAAGCGUUGUCCGGAAUUAUUGGGCGUAAAGCGCGCGCAGGCGGUUCUUUAAGUCUGAUGUGAAAGCCCACGGCUCAACCGUGGAGGGUCAUUGGAAACUGGAGAACUUGAGUACAGAAGAGGAAAGCGGAAUCCCACGUGUAGCGGUGAAAUGUGUAGAGAUGUGGAGGAACACCAGUGGCGAAGGCGGCUUUCUGGUCUGUAACUGACGCUGAGGCGCGAAAGCGUGGGGAGCAAACAGGAUUAGAUACCCUGGUAGUCCACGCCGUAAACGAUGAGUGCUAAGUGUUAGGGGGGUUUUCCGCCCCCCUUAGUGCUGCAGCUAACGCAUUAAGCACUCCGCCUGGGAGUACGGCCGCAAGGCUG
rnacentral:rRNA from 1 species